UACAGAGGUGGCAAGCGUUGUUCGGAAUUACUGGGCGUAAAGGGCGAGUAGGCGGCCUUCUAAGUCAGACGUGAAAUCCCCCGGCUUAACCUGGGAACUGCGUCUGAUACUGGCGAUCUUGAGUCCGGAAGAGGUGAGUGGAACUCCUAGUGUAGAGGUGGAAUUCGUAGAUAUUAGGAAGAACACCAGUGGCGAAGGCGGCUCACUGGUCCGGUACUGACGCUGAGGUGCGAAAGCGUGGGGAG
rnacentral:rRNA from 1 species